rnacentral:rRNA from 1 species
GUGUAGGGGUAAAAUCCGUAGAGAUCACUAGGAAUACCGAAAGCGAAGGCGAUCUGCUGGUACAUUACUGACGCUAAGAUACGAAAGCGUGGGGAGCAAACAGGAUUAGAUACCCUGGUAGUCCACGCCCUAAACGAUGAAUGCUAGUCGUCGGAAAGCUUGUCUUUUCGGUGAUGCAGUUAACACAUUAAGCAUUCCGCCUGGGGAGUACGGUCGCAAGAUUAAAACUCAAAGGAAUAGACGGGGACCCGCACAAGUGGUGGAGCAUGUGGUUUAAUUCGAAGAUACGCGAAGAACCUUACCUAGGCUUGACAUACCAAGAAUCUUGUAGAGAUACAGGAGUGUUAGCUUGCUAGAAUUUGGAUACAGGUGCUGCACGGCUGUCGUCAGCUCGUGUCGUGAGAUGUUGGGUUAAGUCCCGCAACGAGCGCAACCCUCGUCGUUAGUUGCUAACAGUUCGGCUGAGCACUCUAGCGAGACUGCCUUCGCAAGGAGGAGGAAGGUGAGGACGACGUCAAGUCAUCAUGGCCCUUAUGCCUAGGGCGACACACGUGCUACAAUGGGGCGUACAGAGAGCUGCGAUACCGCGAGGUGGAGCCAAUCUCUAAAGCGUCUCUCAGUUCGGAUAACACUCUGCAACUCGAGUGUUUGAAGCUGGAAUCAAUAGUAAUCGCGGAUCAGCCAUGCCGCGGUGAAUACGUUCCCGGGUCUUGUACUCACCGCCCGUCACACCAUGGGAGUUGAUUUC